rnacentral:rRNA from 1 species
UACGUAGGGUGCGAGCGUUGUCCGGAAUUAUUGGGCGUAAAGAGCUCGUAGGCGUGUGUCACGUCGGCCGUGAAAACCUGGGGCUCAACUCUGGGCGUGCGGUCGAUACGGGCAUCACUAGAGUUCGGCAGGGGAGACUGGAAUUCCUGGUGUAGCGGUGAAAUGCGCAGAUAUCAGGAGGAACACCGGUGGCGAGGCGGGUCUCUGGGCCGAUACUGACGCUGAGGAGCGAAAGCAUGGGUAGCGAACAGGAUUAGAUACCCGUGUAGUCC